UACGAAGGGGGCUAGCGUUGCUCGGAAUCACUGGGCGUAAAGGGUGCGUAGGCGGUGUGUCAAGUCAGGCGUGAAAGCCCCGGGCUCAACCUGGGAAUUGCAUUCGAGACUGAAUAGCUAGGGUACGGUAGAGGGAAGUGGAAUUUCCGGUGUAGCGGUGAAAUGCGUGGAUAUCGGAAGGAACAUCAGUGGCGAAAGCGACUUCCUGGACCAGUACCGACGUUCAGGCACGAAAGCGUGGGGAGCAAACAGG
rnacentral:rRNA from 1 species